AAAACGACUCUCGGCAACGGAUAUCUCGGCUCUCGCAUCGAUGAAGAACGUAGCGAAAUGCGAUACUUGGUGUGAAUUGCAGAAUCCCGUGAACCAUCGAGUCUUUGAACGCAAGUUGCACCCCAAGCCGUUAGGCCGAGGGCACGCCUGCCUGGGUGUCACGC
rnacentral:rRNA from 1 species